GCGCCCAGACGCCUUGGCGUGAGCCAGACACAGUUGCUGCACGUGCUGAAAUGGUUGCAUGUGCUGUGUAGUACUCCUGGGUUCAGCUCCUGCUGCUGCUGCAACCAAUCACCACCACUUUUUCACCGCUCAUUUCUUAUCUUAUAGUUUUGUAGGUCAGAAGUCCUAUGAGGGUCUCUUUAGGUUAAAAUUAAGUAUCAAAGGACUGCAUUCCUUUUUGGAGGAUUUAGGAAAUGUUGUUUGCUUGCCCUUAGCAGUUUCCGUCUACCCGUUCAUUGCAGCUGAGAAAGAAUCUUUGGUUAUUUAUUUAUUAUUUUUCUUGUGGUGCUGGGGAUUGAACCCAGAGCCUUGUGCAUGCGAGGCAAGCACUCUAUCAAUUGAGCUAUAUCCCCAGCCCAGAAUCUUUGAUUUUAAGAGCUCACCUGAAUCCAAAAUAAUCCCACUUCCAGAUCUCUACCCUUAACCACAUCAGCAAAGUCCCUUUGCUAUGUAAGAUCGUAUAUUUAUGGGUUCCAUAUAUUUUUGCAGGGGAUCAUUAUUUGGGCUGCUGGUAGGGCCUCAGGAAAACUAUUUUGACUACUCAUUCUGCAAAUAGACUUCUGUUUGACAGUUAUUAAAAAUUAGCAUGUUUUAAUAAAAUGUUUCAACAAUACUUGUUGCUUUCCAGCAGAUAAACGCUUUAAGUGAUUAAACACUAAAUCACCCAUGCUGACCAACUCGACCACUCUGUGCUUCACUGCCCUGCUCCUAACAAUGAAGCUAAUAAUGAAAAUGAAGUCAAAAUGAUACUUGUAAGAAAUAAAAUGAAGAAGUAAA
rnacentral:lncRNA from 1 species